GACGAACGCUGGCGGCGUGCUUAACACAUGCAAGUCGAACGGAAAGGCCCUGCUUUUGUGGGGUGCUCGAGUGGCGAACGGGUGAGUAACACGUGAGUAACCUGCCCUUGACUUUGGGAUAACUUCAGGAAACUGGGGCUAAUACCGGAUAGGAGCUCCUGCUGCAUGGUGGGGGUUGGAAAGUUUCGGCGGUUGGGGAUGGACUCGCGGCUUAUCAGCUUGUUGGUGGGGUAGUGGCUUACCAAGGCUUUGACGGGUAGCCGGCCUUAGAGGGUGACCGGCCUCCUUGGGACUCGAAUGCAGCCAAGUAUCCUAUGGAGGGCAGUCAGCGGGAAUUUUACGCAAAAGGGGGGAGCCAGUUGAUGAAACACCGGGUUAGGGCAAAUCGCCUUCGGGUUGUAAACAGCUUUCGCCAGUGACGAAGCGCGAGUGACGGUGAUGGGUAAAAAAGCAACGGCUAAAAACGUG
rnacentral:rRNA from 1 species